rnacentral:rRNA from 1 species
UACGUAGGGCGCAAGCGUUGUCCGGAAUUAUUGGGCGUAAAGAGCUCGUAGGCGGUUUGUCGCGUCGGGUGUGAAAGCCCACGGCUUAACUGUGGGUCUGCAUUCGAUACGGGCAGGCUAGAGGCAGCUAGGGGAGCAUGGAAUUCCCGGUGUAGCGGUGAAAUGCGCAGAUAUCGGGAGGAACACCGGUGGCGAAGGCGGUGCUCUGGGGCUGUUCUGACGCUGAGGAGCGAAAGCGUGGGGAGCGAACAGG